AGCGAACGCUGGCGGCAGGCUUAACACAUGCAAGUCGAGCGGGCAUCUUCGGAUGUCAGCGGCAGACGGGUGCGUAACACGUGGGAACGUACCCUUCGGUUCGGAACAACUCUGGGAAACUGGAGCUAAUACCGGAUACGCCCUUAUGGGGAAAGGUUUACUGCCGAAGGAUCGGCCCGCGUCUGAUUAGCUAGUUGGUGGGGUAACGGCCUACCAAGGCGACGAUCAGUAGCUGGUCUGAGAGGAUGAUCAGCCACACUGGGACUGAGACACGGCCCAGACUCCCACGGGAGGCAGCAGUGGGGAAUAUUGGACAAUGGGCGCAAGCCUGAUCCAGCCAUGCCGCGUGAGUGAUGAAGGCCUUAGGGUUGUAAAGCUCUUUUGUCCGGGACGAUAAUGACGGUACCGGAAGAAUAAGCCCCGGCUAACUUCGUG
rnacentral:rRNA from 1 species